rnacentral:rRNA from 1 species
AUUGAACGCUGGCGGCAGGCUUAACACAUGCAAGUCGAGCGGAGAUGAGGUGCUUGCACCUUAUCUUAGCGGCGGACGGGUGAGUAAUGCUUAGGAAUCUGCCUAUUAGUGGGGGACAACAUUCCGAAAGGAAUGCUAAUACCGCAUACGCCCUACGGGGGAGAGCAGGGGAUCUUCGGACCUUGCGCUAAUAGAUGAGCCUAAGUCGGAUUAGCUAGUUGGUGGGGUAAAGGCCUACCAAGGCGACGAUCUGUAGCGGGUCUGAGAGGAUGAUCCGCCACACUGGGACUGAGACACGGACCAGACUCCUACGGGAGGCAGCAGUGGGGAAUAUUGGACAAUGGCGGAAGCCUGAUCCAGCCAUGCCGCGUGUGUGAGGAAGGCCUUUUGGUUGUAAAGCACUUUAAGCGAGGAGGAGGCUACCUGGAUUAAUACUCUAGGAUAGUGGACGUUACUCGCAGAAUAAGCACCGGCUAACUCUGUGCCAGCCGCCGCGGUAAAAC